AACGAACGCUGGCGGCAUGCCUAACACAUGCAAGUCGAACGAGACCUUCGGGUCUAGUGGCGCACGGGUGCGUAACGCGUGGGAACCUGCCCUUAGGUUCGGAAUAACUCAGAGAAAUUUAAGCUAAUACCGGAUAAUGUCUUCGGACCAAAGAUUUAUCGCCUUUGGAUGGGCCCGCGUAGGAUUAGCUUGUUGGUGGGGUAAUGGCCUACCAAGGCGACGAUCCUUAGCUGGUCUGAGAGGAUGAUCAGCCACACUGGGACUGAGACACGGCCCAGACUCCUACGGGAGGCAGCAGUGGGGAAUAUUGGACAAUGGGCGAAAGCCUGAUCCAGCAAUGCCGCGUGAGUGAUGAAGGCCUUAGGGUUGUAAAGCUCUUUUACCAGGGAUGAUAAUGACAGUACCUGGAGAAUAAGCUCCGGCUAACUCCGUG
rnacentral:rRNA from 1 species